UAACACAUGCAAGUCGAGCGAGACCUUCGGGUCUAGCGGCGGACGGGUGAGUAACGCGUGGGAACGUGCCCUUUGCUACGGAAUAGUCCCGGGAAACUGGGUUUAAUACCGUAUGUGCCCUUCGGGGGAAAGAUUUAUCGGCAAAGGAUCGGCCCGCGUUGGAUUAGGUAGUUGGUGGGGUAAUGGCCUACCAAGCCGACGAUCCAUAGCUGGUUUGAGAGGAUGAUCAGCCACACUGGGACUGAGACACGGCCCAGACUCCUACGGGAGGCAGCAGUGGGGAAUCUUAGACAAUGGGGGCAACCCUGAUCUAGCCAUGCCGCGUGAGUGAUGAAGGCCUUAGGGUUGUAAAGCUCUUUCAGCUGGGAAGAUAAUGACGGUACCAGCAGAAGAAGCCCCGGCUAACUCCGUGCCAGCAGCCGCGGUAAUAAGGGCGAAUUC
rnacentral:rRNA from 1 species